AUUGAACGCUGGCGGCAUGCCUUACACAUGCAAGUCGAACGGUAACAGGUCUUCGGAUGCUGACGAGUGGCGAACGGGUGAGUAAUACAUCGGAACGUGCCCAGACGUGGGGGAUAACGAGGCGAAAGCUUUGCUAAUACCGCAUACGAUCUAAGGAUGAAAGCAGGGGACCGCAAGGCCUUGCGCGUUUGGAGCGGCCGAUGGCAGAUUAGGUAGUUGGUGGGAUAAAAGCUUACCAAGCCGACGAUCUGUAGCUGGUCUGAGAGGACGACCAGCCACACUGGGACUGAGACAUGGCCCAGACUCCUACGGGAGGCAGCAGUGGGGAAUUUUGGACAAUGGGCGAAAGCCUGAUCCAGCAAUGCCGCGUGCAGGAUGAAGGCCUUCGGGUUGUAAGCUGCUUUUGUACGGAACGAAAAGGCUCUGGCUAAUACCUGGGGCACAUGACGGUACCGUAAGAAUAAGCACCGGCUAACUACGUG
rnacentral:rRNA from 1 species